rnacentral:lncRNA from 1 species
AGGAGGUCCUAAUGGCUGCCCUCUUGCCCCCUGCAUUUCUGCUGGUUAAUGCGGUGGCCUGGCCACACCUGGCCAGCGGGCACCUCUGUACCCCUGCACCCCUUGGUGUGGGGUCACCUCCCUCUGUUAAGGAGGGAAGGAAGAAAUGGUCCUUUCCCCUGUUUUGAGAUGGGACAAGCUGGAUGAGGGAGUCAUCCAUCCAUUCAACAUGUUGAGAGCGAGAAAAUCUCUGAUUUAUGUUUUUAAGGGUUCUUCUGGCUGCCCGUGCCCUGAAGUGGGGAGGACAAGUGUGGAGCAGGAGGACUGGUUGGGAUGUGGGUGUUCUGGUCCGGGGAGCCGUGCUGGCUUAGACACUGCAGGUGGUGUUGGCUAGAGUGCAUGCUUUUGGACCCAACCUUGGCUUUUCAAAUGUGGAAUCCUAGGCCUUCACUGGUCCCGAUGUCGUAGGAAUAACGUGAAUAGCUACCCCGUGGAGCUUCCUGUGUGCCAGGUACUGUGUUAAGCGCUUCCCAUGCUACCACCCUGCAGGGUAAGUGUUAUUAUCCUUCUCCAGGUGAGGAAGCUGAAGCCUGGCAGUGCAGUGGAGCUUAGUGUUAAGAGUAUGGGCCUAGGGUCCAACAGACCAGGGUUUGAAUCCCAACCAGCUGUGGAUCUCAGGCAUGCAACGUAAUCUCUUUAACCUUCUUUCUCAGAUCUAGAAAAUGGAGAUAAUAUAGGGUACUAGGGUUGCUGUGAAAUUAAAUGAAAUAACAUGCGUGAUUUCAUAAGUACAUAAGUACUUGCUUUAUUGCAUGCUGGACAGUGUGCCAUCAGUAAACAAUAGCUCCGCACGUAGAUACUGUUGUCAGCAGCAUCAUCAUUACUGCCUCAAGGCCACACCGCUAGUAUGGAGGCGGGACCAGGAUUUGAACUUAGGCCUGCCUGGCUCUGAAGCCCGUGUUCUUUCUCCUGUCCCACACUGUUGCUCCCAAGUUUAUCUUGCCUAAGACUUUCUGGUCCCUAAGUUUGCAUUCUUGGUCUUCCUGGCUGUGCCAUUUGUUUCCUGCUGGGCAGUGGGCUCAAGCUAAGGCUCACAGUUCCUUGGUCCCUUCUAGCCAGUGACCUCCUUUCAGUCAUUGACUGAGCAGUCCCCGCUGGCUGGGGUGUCCAGGCAGGAGCUUAGGCAGUUUUCCCCAAUUGUCAAUGUCACCUUGUCUACCAUGAAAGCCAGGGAGGUGUCCCGUAUAGUUGUGUGUGUUGGCAGAUUGUCCAAAGGACAGGAGCAGCACCAGAAAGGCCUGGUGGGUGUUCCUGUCUUUUGGGGUCACAGAUCCUUUGUGAAGCUGGUGAAAUCUAUGGGGCUCUCUCCAGAAAAAUGCGCAUGACAGAUGCUCACAAGCCCAACAUUUUUCAUGAGACAUUAUCCCCGAAGCCCACCCAGGGAUCCCAGCUGAGAAAUUCAGAUCUGGAAGGUUAGCUUACAUGUGCGUUUGUCAUCCUGCCCCUCCUCAUUCACAACUACAGAGUUUUCUGUUUCGGUAGGAUGUUGGUAUUUGAAGGUUGUUGGGCCAUCCUGGUAGCACUGGAAAUACCUAUUUUCUUUAUACUAUUUGCCAUUUUCAUUUCUUCCCCAUACUAGAGAAAUGCAUCCACCCACUAGAACUGGCCUGGCCAUGUUGCUGGGACUGACCUGCUGAUUUGCACGUAAAUUCAAGCCGUAGUCCGCAUCUAGCAGACAGCCUGGGGAGGUUUUUUGGCCUCAGUGAUCAGACUCGUGGGAAUUUUAUUGUGAUUUAUAGAUCAUAAAGGUGCAUAAGCUUAGCUUCAGCAGGGUUUAGAGUUCUAAAUUCAGGUAAAUGUAAAUCUCUACUUUGCAAUUUAAAAAUUUUUGGAAUUUCAGUCUUAAAGAGUAUGCCUUUUUCCUUCUUUUUUUUUCCUUCCAG